GAAUUGCGAUAAGUAAUGUGAAUUGCAGAAGUGAAUCAUCGAAUCUUUGAACGCACAUUGCGCCCGCCAGUAUUCUGGCGGGCAUGCCUGUUCGAGCGUCAUUUCAACCCUCAAGCCCCCGGGUUUGGUGUUGGGGAUCGGCGAGCCCUUGCGGCAAGCCGGCCCCGAAAUCUAGUGGCGGUCUCGCUGCAGCUUCCAUUGCGUAGUAGUAAAACCCUCGCAACUGGUACGCGGCGCGGCCAAGCCGUUAAACCCCCAACUUCUGAAUGUUGACCUCGGAUCAGGUAGGAAUACCCGCUGAACUUAA
rnacentral:misc_RNA from 1 species